rnacentral:sRNA from 1 species
UUGUGUUAGGGAUUAAAGUGAAAAUCCUUUUUUUGAGUUUUUUUCCUCAAAAAAAGAUUGUAACGAAAAGCCCGCCCCGCC